ensembl:lncRNA
CAACAGCAGGAAGACCUGCGGCCACCGUGCAGAGGAUGCUGUGACGCUCACCGUGUUUUCUUUUCUGUCAUUGCAGGUGGACGGGACGGACGGUGAAAGCUGUGAGUAUUCUGGAACCCUGCUCCGCUGAGGAGAAGUCCAGGUGUUGAGGAAGGGAGGGGGGGCUUUCCUGCUCCUUUGGUUGCAGAGACACGUUGAGGCCAUAGAGCCCAGGGAAGUUCUGAGCACACGGAGGACAGACCAGGGCAGUGCUGUGAGGCCCCAGACAAACAUCGGUAGGCGACAUAAGUGGGGGACAGAUUCUAACACCUUGAUUCCUCAUGUCUGUGUUUCUGCAGCACAGAGCAUGGACAGUCUGUGUGGCAGCGUCCACGAUGAAGAUGACACAGGUAGGAACAGCUCUCGGGUAGGGGCCAAUGGGAGAGGGUUCCCGGACACUUGGGUUGCGCCUGCUGCUUGGGGUGUGGGCAGGUGAGUCUGAAAUCUAACAACAGAAAGAAAUUGGUGUAAAGAUGUUCAUCGCCUGUUUUAAGAGGGAGAGGGAGCAGAUGAAGAGGUGCCGGAAUGUUGGCAUCUGUGCUCACAUUGGGUCGAAGCGUCUCAGUCCCUGGAGCCGAGGGCAGGUGUGGGCACCUGGAGGAAAAACCAGGGUGAUGCUCCGUGACCCGCAGUCACCUCAGGGACGGGGGAGAAGCGGGAGGGCCGCUGUUUGUACGUCCUUGAUUCCCCGCGGUGUGUUUCUGCAGACUCGGUGGUGGAGAGCAGCAACAGCCACCAGGACGAGGAGGCUGCAGAAUCUUGCUUUGGGAGGAAAGGAUCUUGCUUCAGGAGCCUGAGGAUAAGUUUGUCCUCUGCGAGCUUGGCUAGACUAAUCCCCUGGUGGCCGCACAACAGGGUGCACCCAGCCACUGAGCCAGAUGAAGGUACUGUGGAACCUGACUCAGUACACUCAGGCAUGAACGAUGAUUCUGGUUCAUUCAGUGCUCCAGAUUUCAGAACAAACUCUACAGGUGCUAAGCCGUAUCUCUCUUCUAGUGCAUGGUGCAAAUUCAAAUGAACUAACUCGGAGUUCCGGUCGUGGCGCAGUGGUUAAAGACUCCGACUAGGAACCAUGAGGUUGCGAGUUGGAUCUCUGGCCUUGCUCAGUGGGUUAAGGAUCCGGGGUUGCCGUGAGCUGUGGUGUUGGCCACAGAUGCGGUUCGAAUCCCGAGUUGCAGUGGCUGUGGCGUAGGCCAGUGGCUACAACUCUGAUUAGACCCCUCUCCUGGGCGCCUGCGCAUGCCAAGGGAAGCGGGCCUAGAAAAGGCAAAAUGACCAAAACCCAACCAACCAACCAAAACCCAAAUUGAAUCACUCCCUGGGCACUUUCACAACCAUGAAAAUAAUGGUUCGUUUAAACUCAACAUUUGGUUCCUGGUUAAUAGCAGAGAUGCCCUCACUCAUGUUUUGACAUUUGCAAAUAGUUGAUAUUUGGGCUAGUUGUGCUGGAUCCCUCCACGGAACCACAUUUCCCAACUUGAAAACAAUACUAGACGCGAUUUAGAACAAGGUCAUAUGAACAAGACAUGGUGAACAGCUAUCACAGAGAGCUACUGUAAGCCAUUCCUCCAAUGUCCACCAUUGACAACGUCCAGCACGGAAUGGGGAACAUGUGGUGCCCUGAGCGGCAAAAGAGUCAUACCAUUUUAGUCAGUGAGAAGUUCCCCGUUUACAUUCAGAUUCAUUUUUUGUGCUGUGACGUGAGUUGAGGUUGGACACCUGCACAAUGUUAGGAGUCCCUGGUAUGUUAUUACCAUAGAGGACGUGUACACUGCCGUUUGUAGCAGCGGGUUAUUC